UUGACCUCGGAUCAGGUAGGAAUACCCGCUGAAGUGAA
rnacentral:rRNA from 1 species